rnacentral:rRNA from 1 species
GGGUCCGCACAAGCGGUGGAGCAUGUGGUUUAAUUCGAUGAUACGCGAGGAACCUUACCUGGACUAGAAUGCCCUUGAUGGGUACAGAGAUGUAUCGUUCCGCAAGGACAAGGAGCAAGGUGCUGCAUGGCCGUCGUCAGCUCGUGCCGUGAGGUGUUGGGUUAAGUCCCGCAACGAGCGCAACCCUUAUUUUUAGUUGCCAACAGGUCAAGCUGGGGACUCUAAAAAGACUGCCCGCGCAAGCGGAGAGGAAGGAGGGGAUGACGUCAGGUCAUCAUGGCCCUUACGUCCAGGGCUACACACGUGCUACAAUGGCGUCUACAAAGUGUUGCCAGGCAGCGAUGCCGAGCCAAUCACAAAAAGGACGUCUCAGUUCGGAUUGCAGGCUGCAACUCGCCUGCAUGAAGUUGGAAUCGCUAGUAAUCGCGCAUCAGCAAUGGCGCGGUGAAUACGUUCCCGGACCUU